UACCAGCACCCCGAGUGGUCGGGACGAUUAUUGGGCCUAAAGCAUCCGUAGCCGGUUCUACAAGUCUUCCGUUAAAUCUACCUGCUUAACAGAUGGGCUGCGGAGGAUACUAUAGAGCUAGGAGGCGGGAGAGGCAAGCGGUACUUAGUGGGUAGGGGUAAAAUCCGUUGAUCCAUUGAAGACCACCAGUGGCGAAGGCGGCUUGCCAGAACGCACUCGACGGUGAGGGAUGA
rnacentral:rRNA from 1 species